rnacentral:rRNA from 1 species
CAGACUCCUAUGGGAGGCAGCAGUGGGGAAUAUUGGACAAUGGGCGCAAGCCUGAUCCAGCCAUGCCGCGUGCGGGAAGAAGGCCUUCGGGUUGUAAACCGCUUUUGUCAGGGAAGAAAAGGUUCUGGCUAAUACCUGGGACUCAUGACGGUACCUGAAGAAUAAGCACCGGCUAACUACGUGCCAGCAGCCGCGGUGAUACGUAGGGUGCGAGCGUUGUCCGGAUUUAUUGGGCGUAAAGGGCUCGUAGGUGGUUGAUCGCGUCGGAAGUGUAAUCUUGGGGCUUAACCCUGAGCGUGCUUUCGAUACGGGUUGACUUGAGGAAGGUAGGGGAGAAUGGAAUUCCUGGUGGAGCGGUGGAAUGCG